rnacentral:lncRNA from 1 species
CUGGAAAGGGCUGGAGUAGCAUGUUCCCUGCGACAAGGGAUCCCGCAAUGGUGUCCACAGGUGUGCCUGUCUGGAAUGGGCAGGAGUGGCAUUUUCCCCAUGUCGAGGGACCCUGCAACAGCAUCCACAGGUGUGCCUCUCUGGAAUGGGCUGGAGCAGAAUGUUCCCCAUGACGAGGGACCCAGUUCCAUCAUCCACAGGUGUGCCUGUCUGGAAAGGGCUGGGGUAGCAUGUUCCCUGCAACAAGGGAUCCCGUGACAGUGUCCACAGUUUUGCCUGUCUGUAAUGGGGUGCACCAGUUUGUGCCCCAUGAUGAGAGAUGCCAUGAGGG